rnacentral:rRNA from 1 species
AGAGCGAACGCUGGCGGCGUGCUUAACACAUGCAAGUCGAACGAGGUCUGUAGCAAUACAGAUACUCGUGGCGAACGGGUGCGUAACACGUGGAUAACCUUCCUUCAGGUGGGGAAUAACCCAGUGAAAAUUGGGCUAAUACCGCAUAACAUGACGAUGCCACAUGGUGUUGUCUUCAAAGGCGCAAGUCGCCAGAAGAGGGAUCCGCGGCCGAUUAGCUAGUUGGCGAGGUAAUGGCUCACCAAGGCAAUGAUCGGUAGCCGGACUGAGAGGUUGGCCGGCCACACUGGAACUGAGACACGGUCCAGACUCCUACGGGAGGCAGCAGUGGGGAAUCUUGCACAAUGGACGAAAGUCUGAUGCAGCAACGCCGCGUGGGGAUGAAGCUUUUCGGAGUGUAACCCCUUUGACCCGGAAGAACGCCCGCAAGGGUUUGACGGUACGGUAUAAGAAGCCCCGGCUAACUACGUGCCAGCAGCCGCGGU